rnacentral:lncRNA from 1 species
AGAGAAGGUUACAGAGAUGAAGACUACAAAGGCACAAGUGAUAAAUCCUUAAGAUGGAGACAUUAAGCAAGUUCACAUUGCCUGCUCCUGCACCAGCUGAAGCCCUGGGAAGUGGGAAGUGAAAAUUAUUUUUGGACUAUGUUGUUUGCUCCUCACACAGAGAUAUUGCAACAGAAAAAACAGUCAACAGAAAAACAAACAAACAAACAAACAACAACAAAAAAG